GUCCUUUAGUGUAUUUUGUAGUUAGGAACUAGGGCAAACAGAUUCACUCUAUCGCGAUUUCACUCUCACCCAUCGAUCCGCUGCUCUGAAGCCGAAUCACGACUGCAGCGUCUUGUCCGCCGACGCCACCGCUUUCGCCUUCAUCGCUCUCUCCGCCAAUUCCGCCUCCAUCACUCGUUCGUAUCCAAUUUUAUUUGGCCAGACCGGGAAAAAAAACUAGGGCUGAAUUCGUGGAGUCCUUCAUAUAUAGUUAGGAACUAGGGCAAACAGAUUCACUCUCUCGUGAUUUCACUCUCGCCCAUCGAUCCGCCGCUCUGAAGCCGAAUCAUGACUGCAGCGUCUUGUCCGCCGACGGCACCGGUUCCACCUUCAUCUCUCUCUCCGCCGCUUCCGCCUCCAUCACUCGUUCGUGUCCAAUUUUAUUUGGCCAAACCGGGAAAAAAAACUAGGGCUGAAUUCGUGGAGUCCUUCCUAUAUAGGAACUACCAAUUUUGAUGGCGCUUGAUUCAUUCUAAAAUUCCAUAUUGUUUUGGUGGAGAUUGCUAGUUAUUCUGACUGGUUGUGGUCCCCUACCUCUCUAUGGACAAUUUAUAUAUUAUAUAUGUGGGUUGGUGGGUAUACCGAGUGGGAGGGCCCAUGUCAUCGUUAUAAGGGUGGUAGGACAGUUCGAUUUUCGGGUAUCGACAAGGACCGGAUUUAUUAUAGUGCUCUCUUAGAUAUGUAUGCCCGCGCAGGCAAAAGAGCAGGGGUUGUAGAGCUCACAUACUGGAACCCUAUCAGCGGCCAUGGUGUUAAUCUUCGGGGACCGAUUUAUAUGAUUAGAUGCGACAAAGAUGUUCUAGAAAUGUUCAAGAUCCAUUACGGAAAAAGUAUAAUUUCUAUAUAUGCCAAUGACAAGGGCUUGCCAAUGAUGGUAUACAAUCAGUACGGGCGUCCCACAAGGACCACAGAGACGGAUGUAUGUUAUUUGGAAUGGUGUAAGGACGUAGGGGAAAGUAGCGGUCCGGCUUUCAUGCCGAUUGAGCAGGACGAAGAUGGUGAGGAUACUGGCGAUGAUGUGGAUGAUGACGAUGCAAUAUUCAUGGAUGAUAUGUGUGGGAUCAUGAAUGAUAAUUUUCAAAACCAAGGAGUUGAGGACCUAACAAAUAGAUUUGAUCCGCAUGACGAACAAAUGGAUCUUAAAGGGAAAGGUAUUGCACGAUCAGAAACGGAAGAGGUGAGCGAUGAUGAUGAGGAGGGUGAUGAUGACGAUGAGAGCAGCGAUGACGAUGAGAGCGAUGAUGAUGAUGAGAGCGAUGAUGAUGCGGACAGCUAUGGUGACGAUGAUGACGAGGAAAGCCAAGGGGAUUCAAGUACAUAGGUGUUGAGGAACCAAUGUGGAUAGAUUACAACGAGGACAUGGGAGGUCACGCGAGGUGCGAGGCGGAGUAUGGAAGCCCUGUCGACUAUGUAGAUAAGGGUGAUGAGGGAGGGCCGUGGACAGAUUACAAUGAGGGCAUGGGAGGUGAGGCUUGAUGCGAGGCAGAGUAUGCCAGCCUUGUAGAUAAGGGUUACGAGGGAGGGCCAUAGACAGAUUACAAUGUGGGCAUGGGAGGUCAGGCUUUGAGUGAGGUGGAGUAUGCAAACCCUAUCGACAAUGAUGAUACUCAUAACACCGAUGCCGACAAAUAUUGGGAGGACCUACAGAUUUAUCGAGAGUGGCAGAAGGAGGUUGCACGUGAAAUGGAAACUGACAAUUCGGAGAGGGGAGAGUGGGGGAGCGAGGACGUGGUUGGGGAAGUUAGCUCAGAUGCUUAUGAGGAUGAAACAUAUUAGAUGGAUGAACUCUCGCAAGUGAGCAACAAUGAGGAGGCUUGGGACUGUGAGCAAGAAGGAGGGGGGAAUGCGGAGGCAGAAGGUUGGUGUUCUGAUGGCUUGAGUUAGGAGAAUGGGCUCCUCCGCAGCCCAACAUGAUUGUAUGAGGGAUUGGGUCCGGUGUUCAAGGAAUGGGAUGAUGAUUUGGACUUAGUUGUACAGGAUUUGAAGGUUGGGAUGAAAUUUGUCAACCGAGAUAAAUACAGACAUGCUAUUCGGGAUUGGGCUGUCCGUCGUGGUUGGGAUUUGAAUCUGGUAAAGAAUGAAAAAAAAGAAGGCGAUAGCCGUGUGCAGAAAGAGGUAUGAGUGGAGGAUACACGCGUCUUGCGUCAUGGGAGGAGACAUUUUCCAAAUUAAAACAUUAAAGGGAGUCCAUAAUUGCGCACAUCAGUCGUCUAAGGCACAUGCGAACUACAAGUACUUCGAAAAAAGAAUCAAGGACAUUGUUGUUGAUAAUCCAGACAUAUCUAUACCUGCUUUAAAAAAGAAGAUACAUCGGGAUAUGCGUGUUGAGGUGACUUUGUACAAAGUUUACCGAGCUAAGCAGUAUACAAUGGAGUUGAUAAAGGGGAGCAAGGCUGAACAAUAUAGAAGAUUUUAUGAUUAUUGUGCUACCAUAUGCAAAUACAACCUGGGAAGCAAUUGUAGUUUGCAUGUUGAUCGUGGACUUAACCCUCCGGUACCGAAGCAGAUGUACUAUUGUCUAGCUACAUUGAAUGACGCUUUCAAGGCAGGAUGUCGGACGUUCAUUGGGCUGGACGGGUGUUUUCUUUAGGGGUUCUACAAAGGGCAGCUUCUGAGGCCAUCGGACGAGACCCGAAUGAGAAUACUACCCCAUUGCCUUUGCGUUUGUAGAGAAACGUGGGACUGGUUUUUAGAGCACUUGUUGCGUAACCUUGGGGAAUCGAGGAUAGGGGAGUGGGCGUUCAUCUCUGAACAACAAAAGGGUUUGGUGAAGGCGAUUUUUUAUCGAGCAACAGGGGCCGAGCAUCGCUUCUGUCUCCGGCACAUGUACAACAACUUCAAGACGCGAUUUAAGAGACUAUAAUUGAAACGUCUCUUCUGGAGGGCAGCAUCAACAUAUAAUUUAAAAUAAACAUCUCUUCUGGAAUUGAAACGUCUCUUCUGGAGGGCAACAUCAACAUAUAAUUUAAAAUAAACAUCUCUUCUGGAAUUGAAACGUCUCUUCUGGACGGCAGCAUCGAUCCAAUGAGGGCCCAUCCGGAAAGAGGUCUGACGGCCGCAACCAGACAGAACAGGGAAAUACGCCGAAUGAUGACCCAUCCAGCCCGAUGUCGGAUAACCGCCCCCAGGCAAAACAAGUGGCUUCCAACUCUCAUCCCGCUCCGGAAUCGACACCAACGACACAAUCGUCUCAGGUCCAAUCGGAUCCAUCCGAGACAACGUAUAGGAGUGGAGCAUCUCGAUGUCCAACUUUAUCCUCGCUUCUCCGAAGCGUUAGAUUUUCGUUUAAACCGGGAGGGCGUCGACCACCAUCGGCGGGUGGAUCUUUAAGUGACCGUUUAUGAAGCCCUAUAUUUCUCAUAUUUUUGUGUUGGCUAAUGGUUGGGAUUGGAACAUUUCGUAUAAGUAGCAGAUAUAUUAGUAUGUCGUUCGUUAUGUUGUUGUUAUGUCCAACGGUCAUCGAUAGUGGUAGUGAUUGGAACAUUUUGUAUAAUUGCCUAUUACAUUACCUAACGGUCGCCGAUAUUAUAUGUUUUGUAUAAUGUAUGCUAUAAUGCCGUUGCGACUAUAAUACAUGUUUAAUUUUUCCAAUUGCAUAUUGCAUAAUUU